AGAGUUUAAUCCUGGCUCAGGAUGAACGCUAGCGGCAGGCUUAACACAUGCAAGUCGAAGGGCAACGGGGAGAGUGCUUGCACUCUCUGCCGGCGACUGGCGCACGGGUGAGUAACACGUAUGCAACCUGCCCUCCACAGGGGGACAACCUUCCGAAAGGGAGGCUAAUCCCGCGUAUAUCCCUUGGGGGCAUCCUUGGGGGAGGAAAGGAUUACCGGUGGAGGAUGGGCAUGCGGCGCAUUAGGCAGUAGGCGGGGUAACGGCCCACCUAACCGAUGAUGCGUAGGGGUUCUGAGAGGAAGGUCCCCCACACUGGUACUGAGACACGGACCAGACUCCUACGGGAGGCAGCAGUGAGGAAUAUUGGUCAAUGGGCGGGAGCCUGAACCAGCCAAGCCGCGUGAAGGAAGAAGGCGCCAAGCGUCGUAAACUUCUUUUGUCGGGGAACAAAGGGCGCCACGUGUGGCGUUGUGAGUGUACCCGAAGAAAAAGCAUCGGCUAACUCCGUGCCAGCAGCCGCGGUAAUACGGAGGAUGCGAGCGUUAUCCGGAUUUAUUGGGUUUA
rnacentral:rRNA from 1 species